ensembl:lncRNA
GUGGUGCUCUUGUGUAACUUCAUGCAUGUUCCAAAAACCCCCGCAGUACAGUGGAACACCGCUGGAUUUGAGGACAUUAUGUAACCUCAGAAAUUGAGACAAGGGGUUAACGGGGACACUCCCCCGCCAGACGGACCGGCGCUGCGCGCGAGAGGAAACGGAGAGGGGAGGGAGGCGGGGGUCAUUCGCGCGCGUCGGGUUUCACAAAACACAUACAUACACACAGUUGCACACGCAGGCACGUGACUCCGAAUGGCCGCUGUGGCUUCCUCUGCCUCGCGCGGAUCUCCGUUCCCACUUCCCGUCUCCACGUCCGAGUCGGUCCGACGCGCGCGCCGUUUCUGAUCCCGCAUUCCGGCUUAACAUUUGGAGGUCACUUGUGCACGGGGAGGGUCACACACACACACACACACACACACACACACACACACACACACACACACAGCACGAGAAAACAGCGGCACGACUCACUGGAGUAACAUCAUCACAUCACAGCGCAUCGCGUCAGACCCGAAGAGAAACUUCCAUCGGUCGCGAGACGCCGGUGGGCGGAGCCAACAGGUUACAGCUCACAGAGUGAGUGCUGGUUGACGUCGAUGUCGAUGCGUGUGGCGUUAUUCCGGUGAGAAGUCCGGGGUUGUGCGGCGGCUCUGGCGUCACACGGGGACAUCAGGGGUUAUAUAUCGUUUCAUCAUCACUGAUAUCGAACGUAAAGCGAUGACGGCCAGGCUCGAGACGGUAUUGAUGAGAAACCCAGCGUAGACGUUGAAGCGACUCGGCUCGGCACGACGAGCCGGACAGACCGAAAGACCAAAGCGCCGCCGCAUCGCUCAGUUUUCCUAUAGAGGACGCACGGGCUAAUAUUCCGGGUAAACCGAGGAAAAUGAUCUAGUGUUACACAUCUGUGAGGGACGAAACUACGUGAACGUCUAGGAUCGGACUCGGGUGUUUUCGGUCAGUGGGUCGACGAUGAGUAAAACGGUGACAAAGACUGGAUCAGUGGCCCAUGAGGAGUGAGACAGGUAUGUUUGACACACACACACACACAGGCAGUGCAGUGUUCAUAUACUCUCCAUUACAUUAUCUCCUUCACUCAGGGGUUGUUCAAGUGGGCGGGGCUUAUUCAUCCUCACACUGUAACAACACAUCAUUAUGGUGCUU